CAGAGGGGGCGAGCGUUGUUCGGAAUUACUGGGCGUAAAGGGCGCGUAGGCGGCCUUCUAAGUCGAACGUGAAAUCCCCAGGCUCAACCUGGGAACUGCGUCCGAUACUGGGAGGCUUGAAUCCGGGAGAGGGAUGUGGAAUUCCAGGUGUAGCGGUGAAAUGCGUAGAUAUCUGGAGGAACACCGGUGGCGAAGGCGGCAUCCUGGACCGGUAUUGACGCUGAGGCGCGAAAGCUAGGGGAGCAAACGGGAUUAGAUACCCCGGUAGUCCUAGCCCUAAACGAUGAAUGCUUGGUGUGGCGGGUAUCGAUCCCUGCCGUGCCGAAGCUAACGCAUUAAGCAUUCCGCCUGGGGAGUACGGUCGCAAGGCUG
rnacentral:rRNA from 1 species